rnacentral:tRNA from 1 species
GGAGGAGUGGCUCGAGGGGUUGAAGGCACCGCACUUGAAAUGCGGCAUGGACGAAAGUCCAUCGUGAGUUCGAAUCUCACCUCCUCCGCCU